UACGUAGGGUCCAAGCGUUAUCCGGAAUCACUGGGCGUAAAGCGUGCGUAGGCGGCGUGUUAAGUGUGAUGUUAAAUCGUGUGGCUCAACCAUAUCGAUGCAUCGCAUACUGGCAUGCUUGAGGGAGGCAGAGGCAAGUGGAAUUGGCAGUGUAGCAGUGAAAUGCGUAGAUAUUGCCAGGAACACCAAUGGCGAAGGCAGCUUGCUGGGCCUUCUCUGACGCUGAGGUACGAAAGCGUGGGGAGCGAACAGG
rnacentral:rRNA from 1 species